CCUACGGGGUGCAGCAGUGAGGAAUAUUGGUCAAUGGGCGCGAGCCUGAACCAGCCAAGUAGCGUGAAGGAUGACUGCCCUACGGGUUGUAAACUUCUGUUAUAAAGGAAUAAAGUGAGGCACGUGUGCCUUUUUGUAUGUACGUUAUGAAUAAGGAUCGGCUAACUCCGUGCCAGCAGCCGCGGUAAUACGGAGGAUCCGAGCGUUGUCCCGGUUUAUUGGGUUUAAAGGGAGCGUAGAUGGGUUUUUAAGUCAGUUGUGAAAGUUUGCGGCUCAACCGUAAAAUUGCAAUUGAUACUGUCAGCCUUGAGUACAGUUGAGGUCGGCGGAAUUCGUGGUGUAGCGGUGAAAUGCUUAGAUAUCACGAAGAACUCCGAUUGCGAAGGCAGCUUACUAAACUGCCACUGACAUUGAUGCUCGAAAGUGUGGGUAUCAAACAGGAUUAGAUACCCGGGUAGUC
rnacentral:rRNA from 1 species